CUUUGUUCAUAACAUUCAGGACAUACACCACUGUACUAAUAAAUAUAUUUACUUUCAGUAUAAUAUGAAAACAAUAUGAACAAAAAAGCAAAAAUAUAAUGCAAAAAUUAAAUGAAGCUUGCGCAGACGGCAGAACAACACGAAGACAGACGAUGUUCGUAAUGACUACAGAAUUCUUCACAUAGUGCAAAAGAAAUUAAAGAUCUGUUUUUAGCGACUAAAAUAUUUGGCCGAAAAAUAUUGAUAAUUUGUUUCACUUAAUUAAAACAUAGUUGGAACACUCAUCAAAUCUCUAUUUUGUCAAUCUAUAGAGCUUGAAAUGCCCCUCCCCCCUAACAAUGCGUGACAUGUCUCAUCAACUCUCAUCCUCAAUUGACAUAAUUUAGACAGAAGGGAUUUUCACUGAGGGGACCAACACAGCUUACUGGAGGAGCUAACAUGCGUGCUCGGCGGCCUUAUACUUCACCAUACUAGGGCGUAAAUAUACGAGGGUGCAAACAUUAUGCCCAUCUGUUUGAACUUGUAGGUUAAUUAAAAUCUAAUCAUAAACCAAAGGUAAAUUAAACUAAAAUUCUAAAAUAAGUAAUUGGAAUACAUAUUAUUUAAUUGGUUUACAUUACGUCGCAAAGAGAUACAGUGCUUUCGUGCUACACCGUAUAUAGAUCUGGCAAAUUAUACACAACUAUGUCUUAUUAUCGUCAGAACUCUACUUUUUAUAUAUACUACAAUUGGUUCACUUUACUGACGACACAAAUCAGUCGUAUCUACAUAAGAAAUAAGAUUGCAGCCACAAGACUGUCAAGAGGCUCCGGUGUGUGCGAAGAUUAGAGAGUUUAAGCACGGCACAGGGCAACGUAAGGAUGGCGGCCAUACGUUAAUAUAAAUGAUUGCAUGAAAAUUUUGCUUUGUACGUGUGCAACUAUCAUAUUAAUUAGUUUUAGAAGGAGAAAGCAUGCAAAGGAGUACCAUUCACAAACUUCUACCCAAGCCUGUUGAAUAAUUAGUUUUCAUAUCUUGAAAUGCUGGUGUGAAAAUGUCAUUUUGCCGUUGAAAUGGCUGACUACACCUAACUUCGGUUCUUGCACCAGAAAGCUGGGGAAUGAGAGGGACUCAUCUACCUGCUAAAACGUCGACGUUUCGAUCGAAGCCCUUCCUCAGAAUGUCGGGAGCAGUCACGCAACCUUGAUUAGCUGUUCAUAAUGGUUUCCCAACACUAUCAUGUGUUCUAUUUAAGUUAAAACAUGGUUGGAACACUCAUCAAACCGCUCGAAACGUUGACGUUUUGCUUGUAUUUUUCAGGGAGUUGAAUCUGUCUCAAUCCGCAGCUAUUGGGUGUCAGUAGAGACUUUACGAUUUUAGGACGGCAACGCGACGACGACGGCCGAAACAAACUCCAUCAAAUAAAUGGUAGUAAAGAUAAUUCGUCGUAUAUUAUCAAUCGUAUGAAUUUAAUACAGUUUGAGAAGUUGAAGACAUGGGUUGUAUGGUUGGGAAGAGUUCUGCUGAACCCAGUUUGAAGUUGCACUUGUUGUGGUUGAAAUGCAGGCGUUGUGUCAAGACGUGAAAAUCUGUGAUUUGGCGUUGUAAACUGAGCGAAGGACAAUGUCUAAAUUAUUCAUAUAUUGCAUGAAAUGUCUAAAUUAUUCAUAUAUUGCAUGUAAUUAUUCAAUUCUUUUCAAUGGUUUAUUGUAUUGGUAGCCGUUGCCGUCGCGUUGCGGUCCUAAAUCGUAAGGUCUCUAUUCUCACUACCUCUGGCAGAGACCGCUCCAGUGCACUUCUUGCAGUAUAUUGAUUUGACGAAUCUAAUUGUGCUAUAAGGGUUGUAACUCUCUAAAAGCCAAGAUUACUAUCUAAAAGUAGUCCAAAAGUAACACUUCACGCUAUUUCUGGGGUGGGGGUGGGGGGUGUGGGGGGGGGGGGAAACUUUUUAGUAUUUUGGGAACACAUAGACGAGUAAACGUAAGAAGUAAUUAACUUUGUGAUUAGUAUAAUCACGUUGUAUCAUUUUGCAUGCAUAGCCUAAGCCGAAAAGAUUUAAAAAGAUCUAUUCACAUGUAACUAAAUAUUGAAAUUAAACAUUUCUGAAAGAUUGUUAUUUUUUAAAAACACAAACCUUGUGUAAUUUUAGAAACGUUAACAUUUAGUUAAGGAAGCGUUACUCUAGGAAUUCUACGGGAUGUUUACGGACUGAAGGUAAAUGGAAUCUCUUGUUGUUCACUGUAGUCUGCUUUUGCAUGACGUUCUCGCGAUCCUUUGUACUUGGCCACAUAUUUCUUCACCAAGGAACGGACACGUUCAGGAUCGAUCGUAUGAUUCGAGUUGGCGACCUG
rnacentral:lncRNA from 1 species